GUCCUUUUGAUUGUAAUUUAAGGUCUGACCUGCCCACUGAUUUAAAUUGAAGGGCCGCGGUAUUUUGACCGUGCAAAGGUAGCAUAAUCAUUAGUCUUUUAAUUGGAGGCUGGAAUGAAGGGUUGGACGAGGCAUAGACUGUCUCAUUGUAAUUGGAGCUAGAAUUUAACUUUUGGGUGAAAAGGCUUAAAUGGGUUUAAAGGACGAGAAGACCCUAUAGAUCUUUAUAUUAAGGGCUUUAUUAAUAAUUUAGUUGGAUUAGUUUUAUUAGAGAAUUAAAUAUUUUGUUGGGGUGACGGGAAGAUAGAUUAAACUCUUUCUUACAAAGGACACUGAUUUGUGUAUCGAUGAU
rnacentral:rRNA from 1 species